rnacentral:piRNA from 1 species
UUCAAUCCUAGUUCCUAUUUU